rnacentral:rRNA from 1 species
GACGAACGCUGGCGGCGUGCCUAAUACAUGCAAGUCGACCUUAGUGGCGAACGGGUGAGUAACACGUGGGUAACCUGCCCAUCAGAAGGGGAUAACACUUGGAAACAGGUGCUAAUACCGUAUACUGAUGGAUGGACCCGCGGUGCAUUAGCUAGUUGGUGAGGUAACGGCUCACCAAGGCCACGAUGCAUAGCCGACCGGAGAGGGUGAGCGGCGACAGUGGGACUAGGAAACGGCCCAAAGUCCUACGGGAGGCAGAAGUAGGGAAUCUUCGGAAAUGGACGAAAGGCUGACCGAGCAACGCCGCGGGAGUGAAGAAGGUUUUCGGAUCGUAAAACUCUGUUGUUAGAGAAGCGGUAUAUAACAAGAAAGCCACGGCGAACUACGUGCCAGCCGCCGCGGUAAUAC